CGCUGGCGGCAGGCCUAACACAUGCAAGUCGAACGAACUCUUCGGAGUUAGUGGCGGACGGGUGAGUAACACGUGGGAACGUGCCUUUAGGUUCGGAAUAACUCAGGGAAACUUGUGCUAAUACCGAAUGUGCCCUUCGGGGAAAGAUUAUCGCCUUUAGAGCGGCCCGCGUCUGAUUAGCUAGUUGGUGAGGUAAAAGGCUCACCAAGGCGACGAUCAGUAGCUGGUCUGAGAGGAUGAUCAGCCACAUUGGGACUGAGACACGGCCCAAACUCCUACGGGAGGCAGCAGUGGGGAAUCUUGCGCAAUGGGCGAAAGCCUGACGCAGCCAUGCCGCGUGAAUGAUGAAGGUCUUAGGAUUGUAAAAUUCUUUCACCGGGGACGAUAAUGACGGUACCCGGAGAAGAAGCCCCGGCUAACUUCGUG
rnacentral:rRNA from 1 species